GGGCAGGUUGCGGAGUGGCCAAUCGCAGCAGACUGUAAAUCUGCCGGCUCUAUGCCUUCGGAGGUUCGAAUCCUCCCCUGCCCA
rnacentral:tRNA from 1 species